rnacentral:rRNA from 1 species
UAUUGGACAAUGGGGGCAACCCUGAUCCAGCCAUGCCGCGUGCGUGAAGAAGGCCUUUUGGUUGUAAAGCACUUUAAGCAGUGAAGAAGACUCCGUGGUUAAUACCCACUGACGAUGACAUUAGCCGCAGAAUAAGCACCCGCCAACCCUGUGCCAGCAGCCGCGGUAAUACAGAGGGUGCAAGCGUUAAUCGGAAUUACUGGGCGUAAAGCGAGCGUAGGUGGCUUGAUAAGUCAGAUGUGAAAUCCCCGGGCUUAACCUGGGAACUGCAUCUGAUACUGUUAGGCUAGAAUAGGUGGGAGGAAGGUAGAAUUCCAGGUGUAGCGGUGAAAUGCGUAGAGAUCUGGAGGAAUACCGAUGGCGAAGGCAGCCUUCUGGCAUCAUAUUGACACUGAGGUUCGAAAGCGUGGGUAGCAAACA